rnacentral:rRNA from 1 species
CCAGACUCCUACGGGAGGCAGCAGUGAGGAAUAUUGGUCAAUGGUCGGGAGACUGAACCAGCCAAGCCGCGUGAGGGAGGAAGGUACCGAGUAUCGUAAACCUCUUUUGUCAGGGAACAAAGACUGGGACGCGUCCCCGGAUGAGUGUACCUGAAGAAAAAGCAUCGGCUAACUCCGUGCCAGCAGCCGCGGUAAUACGGAGGAUGCGAGCGUUAUCCGGGUUUAUUGGGUUUAAAGGGUGCGCAGGCGGUGCGGUAAAGCCGGCGGGAAACGCCGGGGCCCCACCCCGGGCCCGCCGUUGAAACUGGCAGUCUCGAGUUGGAGAGAAGUAUGCGGAAUGCGCGGUGUAGCGGUGAAAUGCAUAGAUAUCGCGCAGAACUCCGAUUGCGAAGGCAGCAUGCCGGCUCCACACUGACGCUGAGGCACGAAAGCGUGGGUAUCGAACAGGAUUAGAUACCCGUGUAG